GUACGGUAAAAUUUUCCUUUCAAAACACUAAUCAACAUUCUCUAAAAUGAAAAGGGUAUUCUCUCAUACUAAGAUAAUUAUCACCAUUCAGAUUUCAUAUCCUAAAAAGUUCAAUUAACCAAAACAUUGAACUUCAUCUCAAAAGGGUAAAAAGAUACCAUACAAUUAUCCAUAGUUGGGUAAAGUUGAAAUUAGAAAAUUGAAAAUAAAUUUGUGUCCACAGCACACAUGAAUUAAGGGUAA
rnacentral:misc_RNA from 1 species